UGGAGAUUUACUUUUUUCGUAGCGCCGAAGGAAAUCAGAUUCCGUCCCAGCGAGUGGGCGAAUAUCAGAUGGAACUAGAUUUCAUGCGGAAAGCGGGACUAAUUCGGCAAGUUGAGUUUGACGUACUGGAAGGACGUCACAUCUAUACAAAAAUUUCCGAAGCAUUUGGCGAUUGUCUUGGCAACCAGGAAUGGACGUUGUUGAGCCGACUUGAUGAGCCGGGAAAGCUAAAGAGUCCGUUUAUUUGGCCAACAGAUUUGGAUGUUUUAUCUCCAUCUUGGGCGGAUCAAGACUUAUACACCGAGAGGGC